rnacentral:rRNA from 1 species
UAAAAAUGUAUUUAUUUAAAUUAAUUGAUUAAUAGUUAUGGCCUUUAAAGUUAAAUAAUUUGGCGGUAUUUUAGUCUUUUCAGAGGAACCUGUUUUGUAAAUGAUAAUCCACGAUUAGAAAAUCUUAAGUUAGAAAUUUAUAUAUCAUCGUUAUUAAAUAUUUUUUUAGAAUUAAAUAUUUAUAAAAUAAAAUUUUAUUUUAAUUCAGAUCAUGGUAUAGUUUAUAUUUAAGUAAUAAUGGGUUACAAUAUUAAUAAAUUUGGAUUUUAAAUUUUAAAUUUAAAUGAAAUUGGAUUUGAAAGUAAUUACUUUUUUUAAAGGUAAUGAUUUAGCUCUAAAAUAUGC